AUAACCGGCGAUACCCGAAUGGGGAAACCCAGUGUGUUUCGACACACUAUCAUGUCAUGAAUACAUAGUGGCAUGAGGCGAACCGGGGGAACUGAAACAUCUAAGUACCCCGAGGAAAAGAAAUCAACCGAGAUUCCCCCAGUAGCGGCGAGCGAACGGGGAGCAGCCCAGAGUCAACAUCAAUAUUUACCGCAGGAGAAGGGUCUGGAAAGGCCAGCAAUAAAGGGUGAUAGCCCCGUAUCUGAAACGGUAAGUGUUGUGAACUCGAAGAGUAGGGCGGGACACGUGUUAUCCUGUCUGAAUAUGGGGGGACCAUCCUCCAAGGCUAAAUACUCCUGACUGACCGAUAGUGAACCAGNACCGUGAGGGAAAGGCGAAAAGAACCCCGGCGAGGGGAGUGAAAUAGAACCUGAAACCGUGUACGUACAAGCAGUGGGAGCACCCGAAAGGGUGUGACUGCGUACCUUUUGUAUAAUGGGUCAGCGACUUAUAUUCUGUAGCAAGGUUAACCGCAUAGGGGAGCCGUAGGAAAACCGAGUCUUAACUGGGCGUUAAGUUGCAGGGUAUAGACCCGAAACCCGGUGAUCUAGCCAUGGGCAGGUUAAAGGUUGGGUAACACUAACUGGAGGACCGAACCGACUAAUGUUGAAAAAUUAGCGGAUGACUUGUGGCUGGGGGUGAAAGGCCAAUCAAACCGGGAGAUAGCUGGUUCUCCCCGAAAGCUAUUUAGGUAGCGCCUCGUGAAUUCAUCUUCGGGGGUAGAGCACUGUUUCGGCUAGGGGGUCAUCCCGACUUACCAACCCGAUGCAAACUACGAAUACCGAAGAAUGUUAUCACGGGAGACACACGGCGGGUGCUAACGUCCGUCGUGAAGAGGGAAACAACCCAGACCGCCAGCUAAGGUCCCGAAGUCAUGGUUAAGUGGGAAACGAAGUGGGAAGGCUUAGACAGCCAGGAUGUUGGCUUAGAAGCAGCCAUCAUUUAAAGAAAGCGUAAUAGCUCACUGGUCGAGUCGGCCGGCGCGGAAGAUGUAACGGGGCUAAACCAUGCACCGAAGCUGCGGCAGCGACAUUUAGAUGUUGUUGGGUAGGGGAGCGUUCUGUAAGCCGUUGAAGGUGGCCUGUGAGGGUUGCUGGAGGUAUCAGAAGUGCGAAUGCUGACAUAAGUAACGAUAAAGCGGGUGAAAAACCCGCUCGCCGAAAGACCAAGGUUUCCUGUCCAACGUUAAUCGGGGCAGGGUAAGUCGACCCCUAAGGCGAGGCUGAAAAGCGUAGUCGAUGGGAAACGGGUUAAUAUUCCCGUACUAAAGGUUACUGCGAAGGGGGGACGGAGAAGGCUAGGCUAUCCGGGCGACGGUUGUCCCGGUUUAAGCGAGUAGGUGGGUAGUGUAGGCAAAUCCGCACUGCUACAACACUGAGACGUGAUGACGAGCCACCAAGGUGGUGAAGUAGUUGAUGCCCAGCUUCCAGGAAAAGCCUCUAAGCGAUAGGUAAUCAUUAAUCGUACCCCAAACCGACACAGGUGGUUAGGUAGAGAAUACUCAGGCGCUUGAGAGAACUCGGGUGAAGGAACUAGGCAAAAUGGUGCCGUAACUUCGGGAGAAGGCACGCUGGCAUUAGGUGAAGGGUCUAGCAUCCGGAGCUGAAGCCAGUCGAAGAUACCAGCUGGCUGCAACUGUUUAUUAAAAACACAGCACUGUGCAAACACGAAAGUGGAUGUAUACGGUGUGACGCCUGCCCGGUGCUGGAAGGUUAAUUGAUGGGGUAAGCCGUAAGGCAAAGCUCUUGAUCGAAGCCCCAGUAAACGGCGGCCGUAACAAUAACGGUCCUAAGGUAGCGAAAUUCCUUGUCGGGUAA
rnacentral:rRNA from 1 species